AUUUAAACCUGGCUAUGGAAUCCGUCUCCACAGGACAUUAGAUUGAUCAUGCACCAGAACUAGGAAAUAGCUUCAAAAGAUCUGGACAUUUCUUCUCACUGGACAUUGGACAAUGUUCAACCAGACCACCUUCUCUGGGAAAGCAAGACACCAGGUAGAUUUUGGGAUGAACAUCACUGAGUGGCAUGUUUGGGUUUGCUGACAGCAAGUCGGGCGUUGUCUAAAUAGCCAUAAAACUGUGGAACUUUCAUAGCUCAUUGUCUCUGCUGGAAAAAAAAAUACAGGCAAUCUGUGAAGAGUAUGCAAAACCUCUGUGCAUUGGAUCUGGAGCCUCGAAAUAACAAAACUCCUGACUGAUG